UGGAAGAAUCUGUAAAGCUCAGGAGGGAUAGCGCCAUGGAUGAUCUUCUCUUCACUCUUGAUCUUCUCUUGCGCUAUCCAUCCUGAGUUUCAUGGCUUCUAUCU
rnacentral:pre_miRNA from 1 species